ensembl:lncRNA
UUGAGGCCUGGAGUUCCCCACCCCUGCUGUACAGGAUGGCAACCAUUAUUAAGAAUUGAUAAAUUCAUCAGUGUAACUGUUUGGAGUACAGGGAGGCUAAACAGGGCUGUGACUCGACUGGACCAUCUCACUAUCUGAUUCAGAGAGCGGUUCCAUCUACCUCCAGUUCACCUGCUCCACAUCGCUUCAGCUUGAGGUCAUCUUCGAGGUGCUUGAAGAGUAUGACUGGACCUCCUUCUCCAUUGUGACCACCCGUCACCAUGGCUACGAGGACUUCCUGGCCAUGGUGGAGGGUAUGACCGAUGGCUCUUUCAUUGGUUGGGAAAGGAAGAGUGUGGUGAUUCUUAAUGUAACGGACGACCCCGGUGGGGCACGGACGAAACGACUGCUCAAGGACAAUGAAGCCCAGGUCCGCCUUCUGUACUGCUCCCUGGAAGAGGCAGAGCUCAUUUUCCGGGCAGCUUGGGCAGCGGGUCAGGCCGGGCCCAGCCAUAUGUGGUUUGCAGUGGGACCAGCCCUAUCUGGGUUGGGUCUGGAGGGGCUUCCAAAGGCUUUGUUUGCUAUCCGGCCGCAGGGAUGGAGGGAUGAGCCACGCAGGCGUAUUGCCAAAGGUGUUUCUGUCCUCACCCAUGGGGCAAUGGCUCUGCGGAAGGACCAGGGAGCCACCAGCCGAGCGCAGUACGCUGGCAACUGUCAGAGCGACGGCAACCAGACCCAUCGAGUGCCAGACAGAAUCAAAGCUCAAGGACAUCCAUUCCAAAGACUACUCACUGACACUGGUGCCAGCAGCCUCCCCCAGCAGGACAACGUGCACUGUCACACUACCAGAGCCACUGAGAAAUAGCUCAGGGAACACCACGAAGAACCCGAGGCAUUUAGCCAACCUCCAAACUCCCAAGAACCUAAACCGAUCAGGACCCGCCGAAAUAAGACUGAUCCACAGAGGCCCCCGGCCUGCAACCCACAGGACCCAAAGGACUUGCUGACACUGUCACAGUGCCAAACAUCACGGGACACCCCCAUGGAUCAUUUACCCAUGCCCCAAAGAGUCAAAGUUUCUUUUAGCAGCACAAGGGUGACCUAUUAGUUCUUUUAGUUCAGUGACUGAUCGGAGUGCAUUGCAAUCAUGCUGUCAAGCAAACAUUCUUUUUCCUUUGCAAUGACCAUUAAAUAACAUAAUGAAGGGACGCGCAAAUAGUUCACUGAUUUAGUCUAUUUCUGCAACAUCGUUCUCAGUCUUAGUCCAUUAGUGCUCCUUUAUUCUAUAUGACUGAAUUGAUGCAGUUGUUUAUUUAAAACAAACUGUUUGUUUCAAGACAAAACUUAAAUAUGUGAGAGCUUCACUAAUGUAAGAAAAUAAUUGAGAGAUUUGUAGGGAGCAUUUUGAGUUGUGCACUGCUGAUGUUGAAACUGCUGCUUGGUGCUUAAAACACCAGUUAAUAAAGAUAUUAAAAUACUGAAAAACUUUUCAGAUGCUUUUAAAGGGC